CUUACUUUUUUAAGAAAAAGUUUCCUCAUAAAAUGACUAAUUUACCCUAAAGUACCACUUCCAACAUUUAUAAGAUUGAAACAUAAUGUGAUAAGUUAUCAAACUCAACAUUUUAUUUUCUUUUGGACCUCUCUUAGUAACAAACCUGCCCAUAAUAAUGAAAUAUAUGUUAAAAAUCUUCACUUUGUUUGUCUUCUUGGCUCUCAUUUCUGAAAUGACAUUUUCAAGUAUUGGAAAGGUAGAAAGUCGAAGUUUGAUGCAGAAAGAGUUCAUCUCGCAUAUGAUCCACAAAGAAGCCUCUUUGGAUGUUGGGCCUCAACAAGAAGCGCCAUGCCCACUCGAUUGUCCUUUUACUUGCAAAACCUAUUAUCUAAUUAUGGAAUUAUGUAAAUGCACAUGUUAAAUGUCUCUAUUGUGUUUAAUAUCCGUCUUAAUAUAUAUAUAUAUGCCUUUUGUAAAAUAAAAACGAAAAUUAUUCAUAAUUAGCAAUGAACUAGUAAAAUCAUUUCACCAAAAAAA